AACACUCCCAACUCAACUUUUAAAGCUUUUAAUAAAUAUACGAACUCCAAUUAGCUUCACCAUCAAGUAUUUUUUAACUCAUAAAACUCACUUUCUUACUAAAACUUCCACAACACCAAAGACACUAUCAAGGUCUUAGUAUAAGGUCUUAAUCACUCAUUCCUAAGAAUUAAAAACCUUCAAACAGAUCUUAAGGAUUUAUAAGGCCCAAAUCAAAACUUCUACAAGCCAAAAGAUAAGAUUAGAUCAUACAAACCCUAACAUCAGUAAACACCAUAAGAACUAUUUCACACAAGAAUAAAAAUCAACAAAUAACUUCAACUUACUUGAGAAGCAUAAUCAAGUAUAUUUGGACCCAUAACUUAUUGAAGAAACACAAUAAGCAUGACACAAGUAAGUAAAAAUCAAUAAGAUUAGACAUAAGAGAAGUGUGGAAUGAGAUACCUCUCACUUCCAACAUCUUUUAUUUAUAGGUAGAAUUUACAUCCAUUGUGGCUCAAUUUUAUUUUCAUUCAUCUUUAAUUCAUCUAAUUGAAUCCUAGAUUCUACUUAUCCUAGCCGCCACUCCAAACCCUAGCUACUACUUAACCUAGCUACGACUAUAAAUCCUAGCUGCCACUCCAAAUCCUAGCUACCACUAUAAAU
rnacentral:lncRNA from 1 species